UCAGACUUUGAGCAAUAUCCAAACCGGUUCCAGCUGAACUACCAGAAAAUAUUUCACUGACUCCCAGCUCCAUCCUCUCGGCUUGUUUUGUUCAGCUUCCAAUGCAACAUGACCACUGUACCAAGGGCAAAACAACAGUAAUAGGUCUAUUCCAGGCUGGGAGACGCAGAUGUAGGGCGAGAGAACAGCCCAUCCCAGAAAGAGUGCCGGUAGCCAGCACGUUACUGCACCGGGGGAGUGGUGAGCGUGUGGGCAUGAUUUGCAUAUCAGCUUACGUGGGACCCUGCUGCGCGGUGAGAAAAGGAUCGGAAAAAAGAUGCAAAGAAAUCCAGAGGAUCAAGGCUGAACACACACUUUAGAGGUGACGGUUAUUCAAAAUGUGACAUUUUUACCCCCAAGCCCCUCCAUUAGGCGGUGAGGAGAGUGCUGAUGGUGCGUGGGUGUGUGUUUCUGUG